GAUGAACGCUGACAGAAUGCUUAACACAUGCAAGUCAACUGUGGCGGACGGGUUAGUAACGCGUAAAGAACUUGCCUCACAGCUAGGGACAACAUUUGGAAACGAAUGCUAAUACCUGAUACUGUUAGAGAGCUUUGCUUCCCAUUAGCUAGUUGGAGGGGUAACGGCUCACCAAGGCGAUGAUGGGUAGCCGGCCUGAGAGGUGGCUCGGCCACAAGGGGACUGAGACACGGCCCUUACUCCUACGGGAGGCAGCAGUCGGGAAUAUUGGACAAUGGACCAAAGUCUGAUCCAGCAAUUCUGUGUGCACGAUGAAGUUUUCGGAAUGUAAAGUGCUUUCAGUUGGGAAGCGGUACCAACAGAAGAAGUGACGGCUAACUACGGGCCAGCAGCCGCGGUAAUUC
rnacentral:rRNA from 1 species